rnacentral:lncRNA from 12 species
CCAGAAAGAGCCUCUGUUGGGUGUUCUGACACUCAGGGAAUGCCCAGAGGGAGUGAAACCGAGAGCUGUUGAAAUGCGCUUUGGUUUACAGGGAGAAGAGACCUCGUGGGGAUAAGGGAGGCCCCGGGUGGUGAAGCUCCUCAUGGAGCGGGGAGGCCUUACCUGUUGCCGCUCUGCCCUCCGCAGGGUGGGCCGCAGCAGCAUGGCGUCUGUGCUGGUGCGGAAGGUGCUGGUGUCAGCCCUGAGCCCGCUGCCCCGGCUGAGCCCGCACCUGGCGAUGCCCCGAGCGCUCUCCACUCUCCUGCCUGGACCCUUUCGCGCUGCCGGUGCCACUGGUACGAAGUUCACGGUGUGGGGGCUCAUGGGCCCCGUGCCCCUGCCCGGCCCCCUGCUGCCAGGCCUGCAGCCUGCCCUGGGGUUCAAGACCAAGGGUGUCAUCAAGGAGCGCUGCCGGGACUGUUACCGCGUGAAGAGGCGAGGGCGCUGGUACAUCUACUGCAAGACCAACCCGAAGCACAAGCAGCGACAGAUGUAGUUCCGGUCGCUAAAAUAACGUGCAAAGUUGCAUCACUUCUUGGAAAAAUGGUACCACCUACUGAAAGAAAAAUAAAAUUUACACACGCGGCCUAAUCUUUGUCGACUGUCCGGUCUUGACUCUAGUGCCCGUGCACCUCACCUCCUGUAGCAGCCAGGUCCAGUCAGCUAGGCCAGCCAGAGCCCAAAUGGGAAACGCAUUGUUCUUAUCUCCUGUGCAAGCCGCAGGUACUGGGGCCGAGGGUAGAAGAUAAACGGAGGGAGAGCUGGUCAGAACGCAGCCGGUUAGGAAGAGCCCGGUUCCCUGUGCAGGACCCUCCUGGCAGGGGGAGCUCAGCCCUGGCUCUACACUCAGCCAGAGCCCUGCUUUUAAUGAUCUCAGAUGCUUUUUCUCAGCAUUCCUGUCUUGGAAAAGCUACUCAUUAGAACCAAACAGAAGCUUUCUUUCAGGAGAAACAAGGAGAUGCGGGGAAUUGGCUACCGCCAGCAGAGCGAACCUAAUACCUCCGCGGGUCUGGAGAGCGGGCGCCCCAGGGCUCCCAGGAGCGGAGACAACACCCUGCCCCAUGCGGGGACCCCAGACGCUGGCCCCCAGGGGAGAGGGGCACAAGAGCUGGGUCCUCACUUCCUCCUGGGAAAAUGCACACAGACGACACCCAUGUUGUGCACACAUAUACACGGGCACUCGCCCAUGUGUGUGCACACGCACUCACAAGCAUGUACCAUAUACGCACACACACACAUGUGCGUACAUGCAGCCACACCUGCCCCCUUAGGGCCCAGGGGCUAACUUGGGACAGACAGCAGUGGACAGAUGGUCUCGGGCGCAGCUGGUUCUGAGCUCAUGGCAACCCUGCCUGUGGCCACCAUGGCCCGAGAUUACCCACAGCUACAGUGCUUCUGGCUGGAGGGUAGAGGGAGCCCCCAGAGCUGCUCGGGGGGGCACAGCCCCAGCCCAGCCCAGGCUCAGGCCAGCCGCCAGGCUCCUGCAGCUGCCCGUAGUCCCGCCCCUUCACAAGUCACCGUGUGUCCUGGCUAGCUCGGCCAGAUCGGGAGGUUAAACAGCAGACGUUCACAUCUCCCCAUCCUGGAGGCUGCAUGGCGAGAGCCAGGUGGGUUUCCCCGGGGCUUCCGACCCCAAUGUGCGGAUGACUGCCUUCUCACUGCGUCAUCCCAUAGACGUCCCUCAGUGCCAGCUAACUCUCGGAAUGCUUCCUAGAAAAAUCAUGUCCUAGGCCUCAGAACUGAAAAAAAAAUGAGCAAGAAGUGUCUCGGUCUGCAGGAUACAUACCCCCACGUCUUUCCCCGUAAGACAGAAUGUGAACAAACUGUGGGUGUGUGGAAAGGCCUUGCAGAGGAACCUCCAAAGGAUGAAGCGCCGGGCUGCCUGGGGUCCUGUACUCAUCCUCACCUGGGAGAUGGGACAAUUAGGGAAGAGGAGAGAGGGGACUGAGGCCCAGAUAGCCCCCUGUGGGGUCCGGGACCAGGGGUCUGAGGUCUGCAUCGAGUGGACCCACCCCUAGCCCUCUACCUGCAUCCUUGCCUCCCUGCUGCUCAGCUGUGGGAGCUGGAGCAGAAUGGUGUCCACACUGGGACAGAACAGCCCCACUGACACCCUCGGCCGUGCCUGGCCAUGGAUCACUGACCACGGGCCAUGGAGCCACCGACCACGGAGCCAUGGAGCCACGGAGCCAUGGAGCCACUGACCAUGGAGCCAUGGAGCCACGGAGCCACACAGAGGUCGAUGGACAAGCUCAGGCCUUGCUUGUGUACUGAGCCAGCAGAAUAAAUGCAGGAGGUGAUGAACUGAGCUCCCUCCC